AAUAGUGAUGAAGAAGAUGAGAGCUCUGAGGAUGAAGGUGCUGAAGAAGUACAGGAUGAUGAUGAUGUUGCAAAUAUUGGUCCAACUGCCAGAGGACAGGGUUCUGUCUCUUACGUUGCACUAAAUGCAUUUACGGGAGAGGAGAAAGGGGAACUCAGCAUCCAGAGUGUAUCAUUUUAUUUUAGUUAUACAAUCCUUGAAUUCAGGUUAUUUUCUUGCUUCUAGCAAUUUGUCUUUGUUUUUGCCUUGUUUCAGAAUGGAGAGGUUUUAAAAGUUCUCUCUAAAAAAUAAGGAUGGAUGGUGGCUGGCUAAAAACUCAAAAUGCCAGAAGGGCCUGGUUCCCAAAACCUUCUUGGAGAUGGCUUCUCUGUAUGGUAGUGAGAGAGAGAGAGAGAUAAUGAGGAGUGAAGAAGAAGAGUACAGUCUGACAUAAAGUCCAGAAAUCAUGGACCGAAUCAGAGAGUAACCUGAGAAGAUCUGAAAAGGUACUGUGUGUGUGUACAUCACAUGAUUGCUACAGUAUUAAUUUAAAUGGUCCUAUUAUGCUUUA